CUGUCACGGAAACUGCUCCGUCAGCACGGGUCCUGGAGUGCUAGAGAUACAGCGCGCACCGGCCUGAGACAGCCAUGAACAAGUAUCUAAAUUUGGCUCCCAACCCCCACAUCAGGUGGCUCAUAACAGUCUUAAAUCCAGCCCCAAGGGAUUUUUGUGUUACCAUGGCACUGACUGCUCUUCCAAAGGUCCUGAAUUCAAAUUCCAACAACUGCAUGGUGGCUUACAACCAUUUGUAAUGAGAUCUGAUGCCCUCUUCUGGAGUGUCUGAAGACAGCUA